rnacentral:rRNA from 1 species
CCAUGCAGUCGAACGGUAACAGGUCUUCGGAUGCUGACGAGUGGCGAACGGGUGAGUCUCCUUCGGAACGUGCCUAGUAGUGGGGGAUAACUACUCGAAAGAGUGUCUAAUACCGCAUGAGAUCUACGGAUGAAAGCAGGGGAUCGCAAGACCUUGUGCUACUAGAGCGGCCGAUGGCAGAUUAGGUAGUUGGUGGGAUAAAAGCUUACCAAGCCGACGAUCUGUAGCUGGUCUGAGAGGACGAUCAGCCACACUGGGACUGAGACACGGCCCAGACUCCUACGGGAGGCAGCAGUGGGGAAUUUUGGACAAUGGGCGCAAGCCUGAUCCAGCAAUGCCGCGUGCAGGAUGAAGGCCUUCGGGUUGUAAACUGCUUUUGUACGGAACGAAAAGCCCUGGGUUAAUACCCUGGGGUCAUGACGGUACCGUAAGAAUAAGCACCGGCUAACUACGUGCCAGCAGCCGCGGUAAUACGUAGGGUGCAAGCGUUAAUCGGAAUUACUGUGCGUAAAGCGUGCGCAGGCGGUUUUGUAAGACAGAGGUGAAAUCCCCGGGCUCAACCUGGGAACUGCCUUUGUGACUGCAAGGCUAGAGUACGGCAGAGGGGGGAUGGAAUUCCGCGUGUAGCAGUCGAAUGCGUAGAUAUGCUGAGGAACACCGAUGGCGAACGCAAUCCCCUGGGCCUGUACUGACGCUCAUGCACGAAAGCGUGGGGAGCAAACAGGAAUAGAUACCCUGGUAGUCCACGCCGUAAACGAUGUCAACUGGUUGUUGGGUCUUAACUGACUCAGUAACGGAGCUUACGCGUGAAGAUGACCG